rnacentral:rRNA from 1 species
AUUGAACGCUGGCGGCAGGCCUAACACAUGCAAGUCGAGCGAGCGGCGGACGGGUGAGUAAUGUAUGGGGACUGUCCGAUAGAGGGGGAUAACUAAUGGAAACGGUGGCUAAUACCGCAUACUGUCGGAUAACCCAUAUGGGAUUAGCUAGUUGGUAAGGUAAUGGCGUACCUAGGCGACGCUCCCUAGCUGGUCUGAGAGGAUGUUCAGCCACACUGGGACUGGGACGCGGCCCAGACUCCUACGGAGUCAGCAGUGGGCAAUAUUGCACAAUGGUCUCAAGCCUGAUGCAGCGACGCCGCGGGGGGGAUGAAGGCUUUCUGGUUGUAAGCCUCUUUCGCUAUCGAACGGAUAGGUGGAGAAGAAGCGCCGGCUAACUACGUGCCAGCAGCCGCGGUAAUAC